rnacentral:rRNA from 1 species
AGUAACGCGUGGAUAACCUGCCUCACACUGGGGGAUAACAGUUAGAAAUGACUGCUAAUAUCGCAUAAGCGCACAGUACCGCAUGGUACAGUGUGAAAAACUCCGGUGGUGUGAGAUGGAUCCGCGUCUGAUUAGCCAGUUGGCGGGGUAACGGCCCACCAAAGCGACGAUCAGUAGCCGACCUGAGAGGGUGACCGGCCACAUUGGGACUGAGACACGGCCCAA